GACGGAGGAUGCAAGCGUUAUCCGGAAUGAUUGGGCGUAAAGCGUCCGCAGGUGGCAGUUCAAGUCUGCUGUCAAAGACCGGGGCUUAACUUCGGAAAGGCAGUGGAAACUGAACAGCUAGAGUAUGGUAGGGGCAGAGGGAAUUCCUGGUGUAGCGGUGAAAUGCGUAGAUAUCAAGAGGAACACCUGAGGUGAAGACGGGUUGCUGGGCCAACACUGACGCUGAGGCGCGAAAGCCAGGGGAGCAAACGGG
rnacentral:rRNA from 1 species